GACGUAGGGUGCGAGCGUUGUCCGGAUUUAUUGGGCGUAAAGAGCUCGUAGGCGGCUCGUCGCGUCGACCGUGAAAACCCGCGGCUUAACUGCGGGCUUGCGGUUGAUACGGGCGGGCUAGAGUCGGAGAGGGAGACUGGAAUUCCUGGUGUAGCGGUGAAAUGCGCAGAUAUCAGGAGAACACCCGUGGCGAAGGCGGCUC
rnacentral:rRNA from 1 species